UACGUAGGGGGGCGAGCGUUGUCCGGAUUUAUUGGGCGUAAAGAGCGUGUAGGCGGCCAGGUAGGUCUGCUGUGAAAACUCGAGGCUCAACCUCGAGACGUCGGCGGAAACCAUCUGGCUAGAGUCCGGAAGAGGAGAGUGGAAUUCCCGGUGUAGUGGUGAAAUGCGAUAGAUAUCGGGAGGAACACCAGUGGCGAAGGCGGUUCUCUGGGACGGUACUGACGCUGAGACGCGAAAAGCGUGGGGGAGCGAACAGG
rnacentral:rRNA from 1 species